UGCUAAUGAUGGGAAUUGGAGGAGCUUGGUCUUUCAUGGUACAUGCCUCGCUAAGAGCACUGGGCUCUCAAACCUUGUGUUUGUGAGUGGGAAGAGGAGAAGUCUUCACAUUGCCUAUGUAGUCCUUGUUAAUGGCUACACUAAAAGCAUCUCAUGCCCUGAAAAGGAGAUAGAUCAAGCUCUCGCAGCAGCUGGAAGACAGGACUGACUAACUGAAGAUCAUCUGCCACUGUAUUAGUAGGAGCAGGUCAUGUUACCCUGUAAGAAAUAUUCAUGGGUGCUGCCAGACUGGGCUGUCAGUUUUUGUGUUAAGCCACAAAUACCCUUCUCCUCUAUGUAGGAGGGCUCUCUCACUAGGACUCAAUAAUAGUAUUUGCUGGUUCCCCAUGUAACACUGACCUAAAUGAGCACCUCUAAAUUAUAGAAGUCUCUUGAAAAGGCUAGUCUGAACUGUGCUCUUCCUUGCAGGUCGCAAAUGCCAAGGUCAGGCUGUGGGUGAGGAUCCUAGAAGAGGGUUUUCCAAAAAACAGCCACAGACUACUCACAGUCCAGGAAACCUUUUUAGUCAUGCAGUCCCAAAAGAGGCUUUCUAAUUGUGGCUGUCCUUACCAGAACAAACCAGUUGCUACAGCUGUAACAGCUAAACAUCUUCUAGCUCUGCCAUGACUGAGUAAUCGUCUGCACAUUCAGAGGAUCUCAGCUGUCAUCUGAUGAGUCCAGAGUCAUCGCUACAGAGCUAUAAUCUACAGAAUGCCAAGAACCCCCAGAUGUAUACUCUGGACACCUGCCACUACACCUGCUUUCCUCGAGCUUUGUGUAGCAGUGACAGCCUUUCAGAAGGGAGCCCAUCAGCCUGGAGCUGGGCUGGCUGCAGCACUUCUGCCAUUCUUUGGGAAUCUGGUUAG
ensembl:lncRNA